CAUAGCGACUAUCGUGGCAUAUCAAUAAGCGGAGGAAAAGAAACUAACAAGGAUUCCCCUAGUAACGGCGAGUGAAGCGGGAAGAGCUCAAAUUUGAAAUCUUCAAGGGUUUCCCUUGACGAAUUGUAGUUUAAAGAAGUGUUUUCUGUUAGAGAGGUGGUAAAAGUUCUUUGGAAUAGGACAUCAUAGAGGGUGAGAAUCCCGUAUUUGAUCACUUUCUACUAACGUUGUGAUACACUUUCAAAGAGUCGGAUUGUUUGGGGAAUGCAGUCCAAAAUGGGUGGUAAAUUUCAUCUAAAGCUAAAUAUUGGCGAGAGACCGAUAGCGAACAAGUACCGUGAGGGAAAGAUGAAAAGAACUUUGAAAAGAGAGUUAAACAGUACGUGAAAUUGUCAAAAGGGAAGCGUUUGACACCAGUGUUGUUUUUCCGAAAAUCAAUUAAGAAUGGCCGGAUUUUAAGUUUCAUGACCUUAAAAGCUUGUUUCUUAUUUUUCUUGUCUUUCUUAAUGCACUUUUCGGUUAACAAGUCAACAUCAAUUUCUUUUGUUGUAAAAGGUUAAGAGGAAGGUGGCUUUACUUUCGGGUAAAGUGUUUAUAGCCUUUUAACUCUGCAAUCGGAGAGAUUGAGGUCUGCAGCGUAGAUCCUUCGGGGCUAGAUACGUUUGUGCUAAGUUAUAGCUUUUCAUAGACAACUUGUUGACUAUGUUUAGUCUUGUAGCUUACUCGCAUGCGCUAUUUUACCUACGCUUAGGAUGUUGACGCGCGUGUGUGCGUG
rnacentral:rRNA from 1 species